rnacentral:rRNA from 1 species
GACGAACGCUGGCGGCGUGCUUAACACAUGCAAGUCGAACGGAAAGGCCCUGCUUUUGUGGGGUGCUCGAGUGGCGAACGGGUGAGUAACACGUGAGUAACCUGCCCUUGACUUUGGGAUAACUUCAGGAAACUGGGGCUAAUACCGGAUAGGAGCUCCUGCUGCAUGGUGGGGGUUGGAAAGUUUCGGCGGUUGGGGAUGGACUCGCGGCUUAUCAGCUUGUUGGUGGGGUAGUGGCUUACCAAGGCUUUGACGGGUAGCCGGCCUGAGAGGGUGACCGGCCACAUUGGGACUGAGAUACGGCCCAGACUCCUACGGGAGGCAGCAGUGGGGAAUAUUGCACAAUGGGCGGAAGCCUGAUGCAGCAACGCCGCGUGCGGGAUGGCGGCCUUCGGGUGGUAAACCGCUUUCGCCUGUGACGAAGCGUGAGUGACGGUAAUGGGUAAAGAAGCACCGGCUAACUACGU